rnacentral:rRNA from 1 species
UACGAAGGGGGCUAGCGUUGUUCGGAAUCACUGGGCGUAAAGGGCGCGUAGGCGGCUUUAUAAGUCGGGGGUGAAAGCCUGUGGCUCAACCACAGAAUUGCCUUCGAUACUGUAGAGCUUGAGACCGGAAGAGGUAAGUGGAACUGCGAGUGUAGAGGUGAAAUUCGUAGAUAUUCGCAAGAACACCAGUGGCGAAGGCGGCUCACUGGCCCGGAACUGACGCUGAGGUGCGAAAGCGUGGGGAGCAAACAGGGAU